GCCGAGCUCGGUGGCUCGUGCCUGUAGUCCCAGCUACUGGGGAGUCUGAGGUGGGAGGAACGCUUGAGCCCAGGAGUUCUGGGCUGUAGUGCGCUAUGCCUAUUGAGUGUCUGCACUAAGUUCGGCAUCAAUAUGGUGACCCCCUGAGAGUGGGGGAUCACAAGGUUGCAUAAGGAGGGGUGAACUGGCCCAGGUCGGAAAGGGAGCAGGCCAAAACUCCCGUGCUGAUCAGUAGUGGGAUCUCGCCUGUGAAUAGCCACUGCACUCUAGCCUGGGCAACAUAGCAAGACUCCAUCUCU
rnacentral:SRP_RNA from 1 species